UCCUCUUGACUGCCAGGCUCAGGAGUUGCUGGGUGCUGGAUGCAGUGGGGGAUCAUUUAAGGGUUCUGCGCUCGAGGAGGGAUGAGUGCCAAGCUUCUAGGAUACAAGAAGCCCCUCUUCCCUGAACCCUCAUCACUACCACUUUCCACCAAAGAUCUUGAAAGGAACACAACACAGUAGGAAAUGGAAGCACUGGCCUCUUCUUCUGGUAAGUGAAGAAUGCAAGUUCUGCUGUUGAAUUGUUGUUGAGAUUUUCUGGAAGAGGUCGGUUGGUUUCCCAUGUGCAGCUGUACAUUUUGGAGCACACACAUUGACCUGAGAGUUAGGUUAUUAGAGGUUCCUUCCUCUGCUGGCGACUUGUUGAAUGAUCCCAGGAACACUUGCAUGCUGACAGCAGAGAAGGACCCUUUUAACUCUACAUUUCUGGGAAGCUGUAUUUACAUCGCUCUUCCUCCAGCUGCACACUGACACUCUUUACCUUUGCUUGUUUGCCCUGCAAAUCCUUGAGCUCCCCAAAGUGUGACAGUAAUUACCUGGGAGCACAUUAGCUGUGCUGACCUCCUGGAUUCGAAGGUGAAUUUUAGCAAGAUCCUCAAUGAUUCUCAUGCCCACUAAUGUUGGAGGUGUACAGCUCUAAGGCACUGAGACUGCUGAACCAAAGUUCCUCUCCCUUAAAACCUGAGAGUUCUGUUUGAUGUGGCACCACCUGACUGGCACACUAGAAACUCAGAUCCUUGAGCUUAAUGCCUCACUAAGAAGCAUGUGUGUGGUAGGGGAGAGGGCAGGUGGCAUCAGUGUCAAACGUACUAGGAAGCUAGUUCCUCCAGCUGGUACAGGCCCACAGCAGAAUUUUGGGCUUUGAUGCAUUAGGCAUCAAUCAACUCCCGUUGCACACAGAGGGACAUGUCCAAGAGGGUGGGAUUGUUCCACAGGCUAAACGAGGAAAGAAAAAUGGGAAAGCUGCUCUUUAGCAGAUGGGGUCCUUGCUUUGGGGUCUCCUUGCCACUGGUUCCAGACUUGUCCUUUUCUAUCAUCACCUUGUUAGGUAUGUGGACCCUCCGGGUGCUUCUGGGCCCUGCACCUUCCUGCCAGGCGCCCGGGUCCCUCAUUCCUCAUCUUCCUCCCUCCUGACACCUGCUCUCUGCUUUCUCUCGAUUUGCGUCACAGUAAAUGAAUCACAAGGCUUGAGAGUCUCUUUUUUCUGGAAUAUCUGAAUUUUUACAGCAACAAAAUCCUGUCUCUCUCCAAUAAUUGCCUCUGCUGGCCCUUCAGACCCCAGUGCAGGGGCGUGGAGGCGAUGACAGGGUCAGCGGAGGGCAGCAGGCUGCGCCAAACCCUCUGCCUGGGUGUCGCCCUUUGUUCUCAGCCUGGGGGUCUGACGUAGACACACGGAGGACGGGAAAUUUGCUUGCCUUGUGAAGUUGCUGCGGAAGGUCUUAAGCUUAUAAGGAACACCUCGUUUAGGUGGAGAUGGUCACAGUGGGACUGUGCACCUGUAUCCUUGGACCACACGUGUUAUGGGGAUGCGGCGGCAUUUUGCAGAGUCAGGAGGCUGGCAGGUGAGGCUGAGAAGCAGUUCAGGGGCCAGUGGGAACGGACUCUGCUCCCGCUCUGACCGCUGCUGAGCCUGGCCUGAGCUCGGGUUGGAGGAGGUGUCAUUAUUUCCAGUCAGACCCACAGGUGGUCGGUGCGUUCUCGCUCACCUUUUCUUCCUUCAUCUACAGCAGGAACGGGGCUGUUGGUCUGGCAAAAGCCUUUCUCGUGCAGGCAGUGCGUGGGCAUGUGACCCGGGUCGGGACACCGGGGGCCCUGGAGGCAGGCUGCAUCUGCCUCAGCUUUUUGUGGCCAUCUUGCCUCCAAUAUAUUUGUGACCCAGGACAGCUUAACUGGGAGCUGGAUCCGCUCUUACGUGGCACUGUGUGUGUGGUCGCUCUGCCUGUGGCGCAUCUGAAGUGCUGACGUCUUCAGUCUUGGAAGAGAACUCUUUGGCCGUGGGUGAGAUACAUUUCAAAAAUGCCUGCAUAGUUAAAGGACAGCUGACGGUGGAGCCGAUACCGUGUUGAGUAACCCCUGAGGCUCUGCACACAGACACCCUGGCAGCAAGUGCUACCUUCUCUAUUUGACAGCUGAAAAAACUGACGAGAUUUAAAACUGCCUGGAAUCAUCAGACGUGGGACGGUUGUUUCACGCAGCCAAGUUGUUUCAGCUCCAGAGCCCAUCCCUGAAGCCUCCUUUGCCCCUUGAAUGAGAACAUGAUUGAACACAUGCGUUCUCUGUGGGCAUAGAAUAUUUUCUUCCAAUUAUAGUAGUUACAUGAACACGUGACAACUAAAAUUCAAAAUUCUUAGUCUAUAUUCUUUUAGCUCUCUAGGGUCAGUCCUCAUUCAGUUUGUCUGCCCACCUCUGGACACUUUCACAGGUCUGGAAAGUUAUCCAGUUAUCAAGAAGGCAGACUUUGUCGUGAGGAACUCUCUCCUCGCCUUUUCUGGUUUGCAUUUUUUUGUAAGCAGUUACACCCUUCAUCCAAAGCUCAUAAUGUUGAUAUAGUCUCUUUCAAGUGGUUCAUUUGGCUUGGGUACUACUUAAAUAUCUUUAUUGGAUUCAUUUCUUAAAUAAACAAAUUUGGAGAAAAAAAGAUUUACAUUCUCCAUUCAACAAA